AGCGCAGGCGGUUUCUUAAGUCUGAUGUGAAAGCCUUCGGCUUAACCGGAGAAGAGCAUCGGAAACUGGGAGACUUGAGUGCAGAAAAGGACAGUGGAACUCCAUGUGUAGCGGUGAAAUGCGUAGAUAUAUGGAAGAACACCAGUGGCGAAGGCGGCUGUCUGGUCUGUAACUGACGCUGAGGACUCGAAAGCGAUGGGUAGCGAACA
rnacentral:rRNA from 1 species